rnacentral:rRNA from 1 species
UUGACGGGGACCCGCACAAGCGGUGGAUGAUGUGGAUUAAUUCGAUGCAACGCGAAGAACCUUACCUACCCUUGACAUGUCCGGAACUUGCCAGAGAUGGCUUGGUGCCCGAAAGGGAAUCGGAACACAAGUGCUGCAUGGCUGUCGUCAGCUCGUGUCGUGAGAUGUUGGGUUAAGUCCCGCAACGAGCGCAACCCUUAUCAUUAGUUGCUACGCAAGGGCACUCUAAUGAGACUGCCGGUGACAAACCGGAGGAAGGUGGGGAUGACGUCAAGUCCUCAUGGCCCUUAUAGGUGGGGCUACACACGUCAUACAAUGGCUGGUACAAAGGGUUGCCAACCCGCGAGGGGGAGCUAAUCCCAUAAAGCCAGUCGUAGUCCGGAUCGUAGUCUGCAACUCGACUACGUGAAGUCGGAAUCGCUAGUAAUCGUGGAUCAGAAUGUCACGGUGAAUACGUUCCCGGGUCUU